rnacentral:rRNA from 1 species
UACGUAGGGUGCAGGCGUUAAUCGGAAUUACUGGGCGUAAAGCGUACGCAGGCGGUUUGCUAAGUCAGGUGUGAAAUCCCCGGGCUUAACCUGGGAACUGCGCUUGUUACUGGCAAGCUAGAGUGUGGCAGAGGGGGGUAGAAUUCCAGGUGUAGCAGUGAAAUGCGUAGAUAUCUGGAGGAAUACCGAUGGCGAAGGCAGCCCCCUGGGUUAACACUGACGCUCAUGUACGAAAGCGUGGGGAGCAAACAGG